rnacentral:lncRNA from 1 species
CAGUUGAACUGUACAUUUUUAGAUGCAACCUCCAAAAACCCAACUUUGCAAAGAUAUGGCAUCGUCAGAAGAAAUGGGGUGCAAUCUAAUGUUGACAGUGUGGAUGAGAGUGGGACACCUGCCAGUUGUUUGCAUCAGCAGACACUCAGAGUCCAUGGAAAAAAUGAGCCUAGAGGUUUUUAAACCACAACACAAGCAAAAGGCACCUGGUCCCGUUCCUCUUAAGACAGAAGAAAGAGGCGUAAAACCAGCUCCAGGUGCCACCCUUAAGAAAUGUUACAGUGCCGGAUGGGAAGAGUAAACCCUGAACAUCUCUUCUUAAUACUUUACAGACUUCAAGUGUAUUUUAUGGUGACAAAGCAUAUUGAAG